UACAGAGGUCCCAAGCGUUGUUCGGAUUCACUGGGCGUAAAGGGUGCGUAGGCGGUCGGAUAAGUCUGAUGUGAAAUCUUCGAGCUCAACUCGGAAACUGCAUCGGAAACUAUUCGGCUGGAGGAUUGGAGGGGAGACUGGAAUUCUCGGUGUAGCAGUGAAGUGCGUAGAUAUCGAGAGGAACACCAGUGGCGAAGGCGAGUCUCUGGACAAUUCCUGACGCUGAGGCACGAAAGCUAGGGGAGCAAACAGG
rnacentral:rRNA from 1 species